UAUUGGGCAAUGGGCGCAAGCCUGACCCAGCAACGCCGCGUGAAGGAAGAAGGCCCUCGGGUUGUAAACUUCUUUUAUCAAGGACGAAANAAAUGACGGUACUUGAUGAAUAAGCCACGGCUAACUACGUGCCAGAAGCCGCGGUAAUACGUAGGUGGCAAGCGUUAUCCGGAUUUACUGGGUGUAAAGGGCGUGUAGGCGGGACUGCAAGUCAGAUGUGAAAACCAUGGGCUCAACCCAUGGCCUGCAUUUGAAACUGUAGUUCUUGAGUGUUGGAGAGGCAGGCGGAAUUCCGUGUGUAGCGGUGAAAUGCGUAGAUAUACGGAGGAACACCAGUGGCGAAGGCGGCCUGCUGGACAAUAACUGACGCUGAUGCUCGAAAGUGUGGGUAUCAAAC
rnacentral:rRNA from 1 species